GUAGGUGGCAAGCGUUGUCCGGAAUUAUUGGGCGUAAAGCGCGCGCAGGCGGUUCUUUAAGUCUGAUGUGAAAGCCCACGGCUCAACCGUGGAGGGUCAUUGGAAACUGGAGAACUUGAGUACAGAAGAGGAAAGCGGAAUUCCACGUGUAGCGGUGAAAUGCGUAGAGAUGUGGAGGAACACCAGUGGCGAAGGCGGCUUUCUGGUCUGUAACUGACGCUGAGGCGCGAAAGCGUGGGGAGCAAACAGGAUUAGAUACCCGUGGUAGUCCACGACCGUAAACGAUGAGUGCUAAGUGGUUAGGGGGUUUCCGCCCCCUUAGUGCUGCAGCUAACGCAUUAAGCACUCCGCCGUGGGAGUACGGCCGCAAGGCUG
rnacentral:rRNA from 1 species